AAGAAAAGGGUCUAGACCCCACACACGCCACUCGGUAAGGAAUUGGGCCUAUAGCUCAGCUGGCUAGAGCACACGACUGAUAAUCGUGAGGUCAGUGGUUCGAGUCCACUUGGGCCCACCAAAUGGGGCUGUAGCUCAGUUGGGAGAGCACCUGCUUUGCAAGCAGGGGGUCACCGGUUCGAGACCGGUCAGCUCCACCACAGGGAUGGAAGGCCCGCAAAGAGCGCGGGCUGGUCGCUGGGGAAGCGGUAUGGAAGUGAUUUGGGAUUGGAUUUUUAGUGUGUAGUGCUGAAUGACGCUUUACGGAUGUAGGAAGUUAAAAGGCGCUAUUGAUCACUGCCCACUCGGAAGAUUUGAGUGCGUUAGUUUGUUCUUUGACAGUUGAGGAAGGGAAGGCCAUGUUUGCCAUCUUGCCGAUGGCGGACCUCCAGGUGGAGGCUUGGGGAUAUAU
rnacentral:tRNA from 1 species